rnacentral:tRNA from 1 species
GCCUUUAUGGUGUAGUGGUCAGCAUGCUCAACACGUAUUUUAUAGAUCUGUGGUUCAAAUCCCAGCGAGGGCA